rnacentral:rRNA from 1 species
UACGUAGGUGGCAAGCGUUAUCCGGAUUUAUUGGGCGUAAAGGGAACGCAGGCGGUCUUUUAAGUCUGAUGUGAAAGCCUUCGGCUUAACCGGAGUAGUGCGUUGGAAACUGGGAGACUUGAGUGCAGAAGAGGAGAGUGGAACUCCAUGUGUAGCGGUGAAAUGCGUAGAUAUAUGGAAGAACACCAGUGGCGAAAGCGGCUCUCUGGUCUGUAACUGACGCUGAGGUUCGAAAGCGUGGGUAGCAAACAGG